CCGGCGACGCCAUCUUGAUGUUUUCAAGUGGAGGUGACGUAUUUCCGGUUUGAGAGUGGAGCUCCACUCGCCCAUGGUCUGCAGCCAGACCCUUCUCAAGCUAGUGGCUAGAUAACAAAACGCAAAUAUAUCAAGUAUUAUAUGCUCAGUUAGGGGCUGCAUAACAAUUGUAUUAAAAAAACAAUUGCACCAACGAUGUAGCGAACACAUUGUGAAGCGGUCGGAGUGUUGUGGUGCACUUUACAAUUUACACCCACCACCUAAAGAAGAGAAGCACCUGAGGAAAUGGAUGAAGGCGCUAAAUUUGAAGCGCCCACCCAAGCGCUCUUAUGUGUGUUCGUACCAUUUCAUGGACGGGAAGGCGACUGACGAACACUUUUACCCCGAGAAAUGGCUCGACUACGAUGUUCCGUUAAAGAGGUAACGCCGGGGGAUGAAAAGGUUGUCAGAUUCGGAUAAUUAGAUAAUUAGACCACAGACCGCCAGUGAUGCAGUGGACAGCUGUGAGGGUGAUCAGAUCCACAUGCCCCUGAUCUUGCUGAAAGUCACCAGAAGUUACCUACUGUAAUAGAUAUUUUUAUGAACCUUUACAAUGUCACCAGAAGUUACCUGCUGUAAUAGAUAUUUUUAUGAACCUUUACAAUGUCACCAAAAGUUACCUGCUGUAAUAAGUUAUUUACAGUGUCACCUGACAUUACCUGCUGUAAAUAUUUAUUUAUCUUAAUUUGAUCUUUUUUUUUUUUUAUCUUUAAUCUCUGAUUUGAAGGAAUAAGUCAUGUCAAGUUUGCAAGUUAAUUCCAUCUUGGUUUAUUACAUAUGGAAAUUAAAUGUUGAAAUUUUAUAGGAUGGUCAGUAGGAGGUGUCUCUUGCUUCCUGAAAACAACAAACACUGAUCAACAAAUCACAAAUGAUUUUAUACAACUUAUAUUAAAUUAUCCAUGUAUUAAAAAAACAAA